GACGAACGCUGGCGGCGUGCUUAACACAUGCAAGUCGAACGAAGAGCGAUGGGAGCUUGCUUCUAUCAAUCUUAGUGGCGAACGGGUGAGUAACGCGUAAUCAACCUGCCCUUCAGAGGGGGACAACAGUUGGAAACGACUGCUAAUACCGCAUACGAUCUAAUCUCGGCAUCGAGGAUAGAUGAAAGGUGGCCUCUACAUGUAAGCUAUCACUGAAGGAGGGGAUUGCGUCUGAUUAGCUAGUUGGAGGGGUAACGGCCCACCAAGGCGAUGAUCAGUAGCCGGUCUGAGAGGAUGAACGGCCACAUUGGGACUGAGCCACGGCCCAGACUCCUACGGGAGGCAGCAGUGGGGAAUCUUCCGCAAUGGACGAAAGUCUGACGGAGCAACGCCGCGUGAGUGAUGACGGCCUUCGGGUUGUAAAGCUCUGUUAAUCGGGACGAAAGGCCUUCUUGCGAACAGUUAGAAGGAUUGACGGUACCGGAAUAGAAAGCCACGGCUAACUACGUG
rnacentral:rRNA from 1 species